rnacentral:rRNA from 1 species
GUAGGUGGCAAGCGUUGUCCGGAAUUAUUGGGCGUAAAGCGCGCGCAGGCGGUUCUUUAAGUCUGAUGUGAAAGCCCACGGCUCAAUCGUGGAGGGUCAUUGGAAACUGGAGAACUUGAGUACAGAAGAGGAAAGCGGAAUUCCACGUGUAGCGGUGAAAUGCGUAGAGAUGUGGAGGAACACCAGUGGCGAAGGCGGCUUUCUGGUCUGUAACUGACGCUGAGGCGCGAAAGCGUGGGGAGCAAACAGGAUUAGAUACCCUGGUAGUCCACGCCGUAAACGAUGAGUGCUAAGUGUUAGGGGGGUUUCCGCCCCCCUUAGUGCUGCAGCUAACGCAUUAAGCACUCCGCCCUGGGAGUACGGCCGCAAGGCUG